AACGUGUUCGCGCGCGCGCGUGUGGUGGCUAGAAGUUUCGAGGAAGUUGUCGACGUGGAGAAUCGGGGGAAAGUCGAAUAGCAAAAGUGCGCGAGUGUGCGGAUCGGUCGACGACACCGUUGUUUCGGCUCCGCUUUCGACGGGCCGGUUGUUGCAGCAGCAGCAGCAGCAGCAUCGCACAGUUGCGUGCUUGAUGAGAUUUGCUUUCCGCUUUCCACUAAAUUUCCAAAGUUAUUAAAUAGAGAAGAAGGGCGAGAAUAUUAUCGAGCGAAUUUCAUACAACGGAACUGACUCUUGACUUUGUUGCCUCGAUUUCGACGGUCGCGACGCGAUCUCGCGAGAAGAAGUCAUCGCCGGCGGGAAAGUGCAUAAAGCACGAGUACGAAAACCAUUUACCAGGCUCCUUCGUGUGCUGGUUUUUUUUCUUCUUCCUCCUCUCAUUGUCCGUUUUAUUACCAUUUUAUGUCGAAGACGAGGCUGACGAGAGAAAGUGUGUAACGCGCGAAUCGACUCGGUAAUCGAGUUCGCGCUCCGAACCAAGUCAGUUCCCACAUCGAGUAGACUCGUUUCAGUCUGCUAAUGCGAAUCCCAUGCCGAUGAAAAGCUUCUUAAAACUUUGAAAUAGAGUGCACUUUGAGGCGCGACCAGCGGCCUUUUUCAUCACGCAAAGGCUACGAACAUUCGUGUGUGAUGGUUCGAUGUGAUACAACGCUGAAGAAUCUCGACGGAUCAAAAUUAUUUGCUACGUCCUCGAGUGAAA